ACAUAUUCUACUAGUAUUUUAUGCACGCGAUGCGUGCGUGAAUUUUAGAAAUUUUAUUGUGCCUAUUAUUUCAUGCACGCGAUGCGUGCGCAAUUUUAGAAAUUUUAGACACUAAAAAUCAUUCGCAAAGUCCAUAUGUUGCGAUAUUCAGGUCAUCCAAUACUCGUAGCCUUACAUGACGAAUGAUCGAAUCUUAUGAACAAUUAAAGCUAUUAAAAAUUUUAACAUUAUAUACAUAAGUAGUUGCUGAUUUUGAUGCAUUUUUUUUCUUUUUUGCUAAAACAAACGUUUAAAUUUAAAAUAAAUUAAAUAUUUUAUUUUGUUUCCUUUCGCUUUUCUUUUCUACUUAAACGAAAGUUUAAAUUAUAAUUAAAUUAAAUAUUUUAUUUUAAUGUUUUUUAUUCUAUGCUUUUCCACUAAAACGAAAGUCUAUUUCCUGUAAUCAAACAUAACUUGUCAAUUUUUUAUUAUUUAUUUUGUAUUUUCAUAUUAAUAUUCUUAUAAGAACUUUAGAUGAUACUCCGUAGAAUUUUGUUCCGUUUAUUUUAUAAACCACGACAUUACUCCAUUCUAUUAGUGAACUCUCAUUUUCAUUUUCAAGUUAAGAAAGCAGGCCCAUUUAAUUCCCAAGGCCCAAUCCAUUCUAUACUCAACAUGUCUUAAACCCUAUCUCCUUUUGUUGUCUAUCCGCCGCUUCCUUCAUUCUGGAACAUAUUUUUAUUUUGUUUCCUCCUUUCUCUCUCCUCGUUGAUCGGAUCUCCUCUCUCUCCUUGAAGAAGCGGCAUAAACCUCAAAUAUGGCGAAAAUACUGCGCUCAAAAUGCCUAUCCUUUCAAAUUCCGAUCAACAUAUUGCGAAAAUACUCGGAUCAAGAAAUAUAAGGUUAAUCUCUCGCCUUUCCCUCUCUCCUAUUCUCUAAUUCAGAUAGGGUUGUAUGUAAUCUAACUAAUUCAACUCAGAUUAAGGGUUUUAUGUUAUAUAAGAUCAAAUUUUCUUGUAGAUAGGGUGUUUAAGGUUUAAUUUAGGCUUAACUAAUUGAAGCUUGUGUUCGUUUGAUUAAUUGUUGCUUCACUGUUUUUUUUUUUUUUUUGCAUUUUUGGUUUGCAUGUCGUAUCACUGUGGAGAGAAAGCUGCUGGUGAGGAGGCGGCGGCGAUGCGGUGGCGAGGCGCGCAAGGCGCUGGGCGAUGCGAUGCGAAGGAUUCGUGAGAAAAGUAUACUUACGUUACGUGUGUGGGAGCGACUUCAAGAAGUAUGGUGAUAUGGGGUUUUCGAGAAUGGAGUUCUUUUGAGAAUGAAUUUUCAGUGCGGUAGGGUUUUUUUUCGAGAAUGGCGUUCUUCUGGAGAAUUUUUCAGGCUUUUUGGUUUACUGGAGAAUUUUAAAGAAUUUUUUGUGUACUUGUGAUUUUGUUUCCUGAUUUGUAAUAAUUUUCAAUUGUAAUAAUGUGUAGUAUUUUCCUUAA